GACGAACGCUGGCGGCGUGCCUAAUACAUGCAAGUCGAACGCAGUGGGGACGGGUGAGUAACACGUGGGUAACCUCCCAUCAGAGGGGAUAACACUUGGAAACAGGUGCUAAACCGAUACUGAUGGAUGGACCCGCGGUGCAUUAGCUAGUUGGUGAGGUAACGGCUCACCAAGGCCACGAUGCAUAGCCGACCAGAGAGGGUGAUCGGCCACCCUGGGACGGAGGCGCCGCACGGGUUCCAAAGGGAGGCAGUAGUAGGGAAGCUUAGGCAAUGGACGAAAGUCAGACCGAGCGACGCAGCGUAUCUGAAGAAUGUUUCCGGAUCGUAACACUCUGUUGGUAGAGAAGGGGUAUCUGACCAGAAUGCCUCGGCUAACUGCGGGACAGCAGCCGCGGUAAUAC
rnacentral:rRNA from 1 species